AACGAACGCUGGCGGCAUGCCUAACACAUGCAAGUCGAACGAGACCUUCGGGUCUAGUGGCGCACGGGUGCGUAACGCGUGGGAACCUGCCCUUAGGUUCGGAAUAACUCCCCGAAAGGGGUGCUAAUACCGGAUAAUGUCUUCGGACCAAAGAUUUAUCGCCUUUGGAUGGGCCCGCGUUGGAUUAGCUAGUUGGUAGGGUAAAAGCCUACUAAGGCGACGAUCCAUAGCUGGUCUGAGAGGAUGAUCAGCCACACUGGGACUGAGACACGGCCCAGACUCCUACGGGAGGCAGCAGUGGGAAUAUUGGACAAUGGGCGAAAGCCUGAUCCAGCAAUGCCGCGUGAGUGAUGAAGGCCUUAGGGUUGUAAAGCUCUUUUACCCGGGAUGAUAAUGACAGUACCGGGAGAAUAAGCUCCGGCUAACUCCGUG
rnacentral:rRNA from 1 species